UCGAGUAAUCCUAUACUUUUAUAGAAAAUAUUAUGUUGAAACUAGUAACAAGAAGAAAGACCUUCUCUUAAAUGCAAAUACAAAUCAGAAAGGACAAACCACUGACAACUAACGUCUAUGACCCCUAAUUAGCAACCCCACAAGAAAAACCUAAUUUUCUCNCGCGUUAACCUGACACAAGAGCAUUUCAAGAAAGAUUUAAAGAAGGAGAAGGAACUCGGCAAAUAUUAACCCCGCCUGUUUACCAAAAACAUCGCCUCUUGAGCAAAAAUAAGAGGUCCAGCCUGCCCAGUGACAAAUGUUCAACGGCCGCGGUAUCCUAACCGUGCGAAGGUAGCGUAAUCACUUGUUCUUUAAAUGAGGACUAGUAUGAAUGGCACCACGAGGGUUACACUGUCUCCUCCAUCUAAUCAGUGAAACUAAUCUCCCCGUGAAGAAGCGGGGAUAUAACUAUAAGACGAGAAGACCCUAUGGAGCUUUAAACUUCUCUCCAAACGCCAGAUANNCCUUAAUAGUCACCGACUUUAUUACACAUACCUNCAGCGUUAUGAAGACGAGUUUUAGGUUGGGGUGACCGCGGAGUACAAAAUAACCUCCACGAUGAACNAGGCCUCCAAGCCUUGAACAAAGGACCACAACCCGAUGUACUAAAAAACUUACANCCAUUGACCCAAUAUAUUUUUGAUCAACGAACCAAGUUACCCUAGGGAUAACAGCGCAANUCUACUUCAAGAGUCCCUAUCGACAAGUAGGUUUACGACCUCGAUGUUGGAUCAGGGUAUCCCAGUGGUGCAGCCGCUACUAAAGGUUCGUUUGUUCAACGAUUAAAANCCUAC
rnacentral:rRNA from 1 species